rnacentral:snRNA from 1 species
AUUGCUUCCCGGCCUUUUGGCUAAGAUCAAGUGUAG